rnacentral:rRNA from 1 species
CAAAUAUUAAAGGCAACGCCUGCCCAGUGAAUAUUAAACGGCCGCGGUACCCUAACCGUGCAAAGGUAGCNUAAUCAUUUGUCUAUUAAUUGUAGACNUGUAUGAAAGGCAAAAUGAGAAUCUAACUGUCUCUUAUAAUUAAUCAAUUAAACUGAUCNCCUAGUCCAAAAGCUAGAAUACCGCCAUAAGACCAGAAGACCCUGUGAAGCUUUAACUAACCUGUUUAAAUCACCUAACGGGUACUUUUGGUUGGGGUGACCUUGGAAAAAAAGAAAACUUCCAAAAAUAUGACCACAAAUCAUCAACCUAAGGCUGACAAGCCACUACAGACCCAGUUUUUAAACUGAUAAUUGAACCAAGUUACUCCAGGGAUAACAGCGCCAUCUUCUUCAAGAGCCCAUAUCAAAAAGAAGGUUUACGACCUCGAUGUUGGAUCAGGAC